UACGUAGGGGGCAAGCGUUGUCCGGAUUUAUUGGGCGUAAAGAGCGUGUAGGCGGCUUUGCAAGUCCGUUGUGAAAACUCGAGCUCAACCUCGAGACGCCGGUGGAAACUGCAAAGCUAGAGUCCGGAAGAGGAGAGUGGAAUUCCUGGUGUAGCGGUGAAAUGCGCAGAUAUCAGGAAGAACACCCGUGGCUAAGGCGGCUCUCUAGUACGGUACUGACGCUGAGACGCGAAAGCGUGGGGAGCGAACAGG
rnacentral:rRNA from 1 species